rnacentral:rRNA from 1 species
GCUUGUCUCAAAGAUUAAGCCAUGCAUGUCUAAGUGUAAAUAAGUCUAUACUGUGAAACUGCGAAUGGCUCAUUAAAUCAGUUAUCGUUUAUUUGAUGAUCUCUUACUACUUGGAUAACCGUAGUAAUUCUAGAGCUAAUACAUGCACAAAAUCCCGACUUACGAAGGGAUGUAUUUAUUAGAUACAAACCAACAUCGUGGUGAUUCAUAAUAACUUUGCGGAUCGCAGACCUCGCGUCGGCGACGAAUCAUUCAAGUUUCUGCCCUAUCAGCUUUGGAUGGUAGGGUAUUGGCCUACCAUGGCUCUAACGGGUAACGGAGAAUUGGGGUUCGAUUCCGGAGAGGGAGCCUGAGAGAUGGCUACCACAUCCAAGGAAGGCAGCAGG